rnacentral:misc_RNA from 1 species
GCUGUUGGUUGCUUUACUUAAAGGUGCAGUUCAUGCUCCAAUGGAAGGAUUGUAUCUGGCGGGGCUUCCUCUAGUGCAGCAGUACCUGUUUCAAUUUGAUAACCUUGUGAGAGAGCAGCUGCCUAAGCUUGGAGAGCAUUUUACACGGGAGAUGAUAAAUCCUAGCAUGUAUGCGAGCCAAUGGUUUAUUACCGUUUUCUCUUACUCAUUUCCCUUCCAUUUGGC